GGUCCGGUUAAAUGCAUUUUGAAACCUAAUGUAGUAGCUUCAGUGAUUAUAGUGGUGGCCUUAAAUUCACAAGAAAUUGGUCAAUAUGUCAUGGUUUACUUGCCAAUAUGUUUUGAUCAUUUUUAAUAUUUAAUAUUGGUAUUCCCUUUAUAAUAUAUUUCCAACUACAUGUGGUGAAGGAAAUUUUACUUGACUUCUUGCAUGACAACCAAUCUCUGUAAUAAUCAUUAUUUUUAUGAAAGAAUUAGGAAUUGAAGCUCUAUGUGCCGCCCUUUGUUGUCAGUUGCUGCAAUUAAAUAGUUGAGUAAAUUGUAGCUGUGUCUGUGGCCUCUUUCCAAGUACUGAUUAGAUCCAUUGUUUCUUUUGUUCAUUUUCUUCGGCCUUUUGUAAGAAAUUAUUUAAGAGCCUCUCAGAUUUUAUUAUGCACUUGAAUACAUUUCAUGCUAGUAAGUAAUACAUGCAGCUAAUAGUUGUUAAUUACUAUAAUUUGUUAGUUUAGUGAUUUUUCAUAUUACAUACUUCGUUGUUUGUCUUUGCAUUAUCAGCUGCUUAUGUGUCUUGGUCUCUUAGCUAGCCAAAGUCCUACAUUAUAAGCAAUAUAUGGUUUAAUUUCUCAACAACAUAGCUGUAAUUAUAUUGAGCUAUAUAUGGUAUUUUGCUCACUUAAGUGCAUUUCUUGCAGUUCAUUGGGAAUUAUCAAGAAACCAUUGGCAUCAAGACUGGGUGGGGUGCUGGCGUGUAGACCAGUGAAGAUUAACAAUGAACUCUCUCAUCAAUUUGAAUUUAACUCAUCCAAGCUUGAAAUUUAUGUUAUAAGCAGGAAUAUAUUUUUGAGUUGGGGAUAAUUUUCUUGGUAGUAAUUUGCCAUCUCUUGUAUAGUUGGAUCCAUCAUUAUAGCUCAACACUUUUCUCUACUAAUGUCUUUGCUAAAACAUGAUUUUUGGAUAUGUUAUUUUGUGCUUAAUGGUGAUUAGAUAUUAAAUUGAA